CGGGCUAGGUUCUUCGGUUGGAAAUGGUAAUACAGAGGCUGAUUAGUCAGCAAGGAGUGUGUUGGGCGAGAAGUACCCCCCUUCAGUUGGACUCAAUCAUGCUGAACCAUCAGAUGCCGAUGUGCUUCGGUUCAUUGGCAAGAUGAAUGGGUGCAGCGAAAGCAUGGAAAUGAUUCAAGAACUUUCAUCCCCUGCUUGUUGUGGCAUCUGGUCAUGACAUUAAAAGAUGAACUGUCUCCUGGAGGGGAGGUGACAUUAAACAUAAUGAGAUGCAUAGAGCGAAUGCUAAGUGGAAAGGAACGAAGGAUGUACCGUGGUCCUGAACUGUGGUUGGCUUGCGAGAUGGAGACGCAUUUUCGAUCCACAGUUUAUGGAUGUCAUGCAGGAAGAGCUUUGCAAUGGACUGGGACUAUAUCACCAUGAUGAUGAACUCUGAAAAGAUGGGCUACAGAGUUGACUGGCUAAAGAAGAGAAGAAGAUUAUGAUGAUACUUGACCCAACGGAGACAGAUCCGGCGGAUGGGAUAAAAAGGAAGCAUGAGGGGCUGGCAAAGCAAUUCCAUGUUUGGUUCUGUACCCUUUUCAACGAUAUAUUCAGUGCUGGGUUGGUUGAGAAGACCGAAUGGAAAUUCGUGUACCCUUUGGGAGGAUAGUGGGGGCGUAUGUCGGGCACUACAUCCUUCAGUUCACUGGUCUGUACCUGAGAUCUACUGUAAGACCAGGAGCAGAUCGAGUACCUUAGGAAGAAGUAUUUAUCCUUUUAUCAAAAAAAACUGCAGGUCCCCUUGGGUGGCAGUGGGGUGCAAGGUGGCCUUCACAUUAGAAAUGGCGUUGAGAAUGCAAAUCCUACAGGGACAAGGCCUUGAGAUCGAGAAAUGUGCAGGCUAAGGCGGCGGCUGGAGUUCAGAAAUGAAGAUUAAGUUGGUUUGGGUGGUACUAGUUCAGGUGCCGGGAAUAUGGAAACAGAUGAGUACAAUGCGUUUGCUGGAACUGGCAACCAAAUUGGAAUUCCUGAUGGGGUUGUGGCCGGCGAACGGGCAAAAUUGGAACAUGAAUAUGCUCGGUUCACUGGGAUUCUUCCAGCUCGAGUGUGAGAGGGGGGUAACGGUACAGCCAUACAGGUGCAGGGGUUCCUCCAAUACCCGAUGAAGAACAGUGUGCACGCGUGCGCACACUUGCUGCUGCGGCGCUAGAUAUGGUUGACCGAGCAAUAAACAAUCCUGAAAUAUUUGAAGUGGUAUUUGAUCACGCCAGAAGUCUGCUGGAGAGGGUUCGCGGUGGAUCAGGAGAUGGCGCGAGCUAAAAAAUGUGACUGGCUAGUUGAAGAUGAAAAGAAAAAGGGUAGCUUUGCAGGUGAGAGUCGAACCUCCGC